rnacentral:piRNA from 1 species
UACUUGUUACGUGACGUAUGGGUCCC